GCCAGGCAUGUUGGUGAGUGCCUGUAGUCCCAGCUACUAGGAAGGCUGAGGCGGGAGGAUCACUUCAGCCCUGGAGUUCUGGGCUGUAGUGCGCUAUGCCAAUCGGGUGUCUGCACUAAGUUCAGCAUCAAUAUGGUGACCUCCCGGGAGCGGGGGACCACCAGAUUGCCUAAGGAGGGGUGAACUGGCCCAGGUCGGAAACAGCAGGUCAAAACUCCUGUUCUGAUCGGUAGUAGGAUCGCGCCUGUGAAUAGCCACUGCACUCCAGCAUGGGCAACACAGCGAGACCCCGUCUCA
rnacentral:SRP_RNA from 1 species